CAUAUGCACAGGGUUUGUGCAGUCUUUAGAUUCUACUGUGAGGCAAGAAUCCAUUUAAAUGUUUUGAGACAUGGCCUGUGGUACUAACAUGGUUGGAAGCAGGGCCAUCUGGAGGCUGCAUCAACCCACUUGAAAUGCGGCAUAGCUGACAUUAGUUAGCACAGGGACCGUGGCUCAGUGGGAUCAGUGCAGAAGAUGUAACCACCAGAUGACUGUCCUACGAAAUAAAGGAAGAAGAGUUAAAGACGACUCAGCAAUCUUGAGUCUGAACGAAUACAAAAACGGAGUUGUUGAGAAUCCACGUGAACAGUUUUGGGGAGCAGGGGAAAGCUAAGGGGGCCAUUUUAGAUGUGUGAACACGGCCGUGGGAAGUACACUAAGGAGAAAAGCGUUAUACCGCUUUGGAUCGGACGAGAUCAACCAGGCAUACCGCUGGGACAAGCAACGCAAAGUCGGUGGUGGCACGGACAAGCGUGGCUUCAAUGAAGUUGGUGGAGAACAAAAACCUGAAUGGACUGAGUGAGAGGCACAGUAGAAGAGAACUUCUCCAGGAGGGACACAUUUCAGCCUCCAAAGUGUUGUCAUAGAUUAUGAGAACCAUCUACGCCUUUUACAACCCACUGUAGCGAAUGGCUUUAUCCAAGUCACCUGACAAGACUUCAAAUGCUACAACUUACUUCACUUAACAGGAACAGGAGAGAAGAGUGGAAUUCAUUCCAGCCAGGGGAUAGCUUCUAAAAACAAGCACACCUAUCUCCCUCAUACUGUGUAGGUUUGGACUUAGUCCCAAAGCCUCAUUUGUCAGCAAGGGGAGGGAUCUGGAGAAGCAGCAGGAGCCAAGCCAGAAGCUGGCAAACCGCUCAUUCGCUACAGAAGAGCAGAUGUAGAUUAAAAAACAUCUGUGAGGGAAGGGGGAAAAAGAAACUGAGGCAGAGAUCUGAGAGAAAAGAUACAGACAGGGGAAAAAAAUGUAAGAACAAAAGCCAGAGACUGCAGAGCAGGGCAUUUGGGGAAUGUCUGAUGAAGUCAAGAAUCCAACAGAGCUAGGAUAGGGGAGGGGCACUAGAUAAGGAGGAAGAAGGGGAGAAGAGAGCCUUGCCUGAUAAGGAGUGCUGGGAGGGAAGAGACCGGAAGCAAGGGCACCGGAAGUCUGGGCUCCUGAACUCCAGCCCAGUGCUUUGCUGAAGGACUCGUGGGACGGUCUUAUAUAUAGCUCUAACAGUGACAGAUUCCAAUGGAAAUGACACACGGGGCAAAGUCUGGAGGAAGCUCUGUUCGAACUUCUCCCAAGGGAGUCACGAGUGAUAACACCUGGUAGAAAAUGCUGCCCUCAGCGGAAGUGGAAGUGCGGUGCUGCCCUCAGCGGAAGUGCGUUACAGACUUGGUGGGCUGGUUCUGAGUGCCUGGCACACUAGUACUCCCCUUAGGGUGCAGACCCAAGUCCCUGAGUACCAGAAGGAAAGUACUGACUGAGGACUGUGUUGUUUAAACAGUUUAAGCAUAAGAAGUCACACAUAAUUCAGAGAAUGGGUGGGAACUCUCCUGGACCCUAAGCUUCCAGAUGCCAGUCAAGGGGCCAGACUUGUAAGCGGAUCUUUCUAGAAAUAGCAUCUUUUUUUUUUUGAAGGCAGGAUUUCUCUGUGUAGCACUGGCUGUCCUGGAAGUAGCUCUUGUAGACCAGGCUGACCAGGCUGGCCUUGAACUCACAGUGAUCCACCUGCCUCUACCUCUCCAGUGAUGGGAUUAAAGGCGUGCACCACCACCACACCGCAAAGAGACAGCAAUCUUGUGCCUACUGUUAACUACUCUUUGUACACAAGUCCACAGAGAGCAACUCAAACUAGAGUGGAAUAGGAGGCAGGAGACUCAGCCAAGAAACAGUCUCUGUAGCUAGUACAACCAAAGGUAAAUCACGAGGCAGAGGAGCUAAGACGGAGAGCAAGGACCAAACCAACAGCAGAAUUCAGAAGCCGGGGAGUUAAACUGAGCACAGAGAAGUCUUCACUUGCACAGAAGAAUGAGGGGCUGUCUAUAUGGUAACAACCUCAGCAGCGCCUUUGAGGAACUGGAGGUCUUCCUUAACUCUGGAGGUGAGUGACCCAUGUUCCAGUUCUACAUGAGGCCUGGUUGUUCCACCGAAAUACCCACACACUUGCCUUCUCCUUAUUCUGCAGAACUGUAGUAAAUCCAAGUUCCCCAAGAUCAGAGGCACAUACAUCUGUGUCCCCUGAAACCCAAAGCACGUCAGUCGCCUAUCAUGGGUGCCACCCACGGAAGACGUCGGUAGACUUUCCUGAGAAAAAGCUAGGAUGGUAGUCAAGAGACAAUUGGCCAGUCAGAUAAAGGACUGUGACCCUCAGGAAAUUUUCCUCCAAGACGGCUAUGUAGCCAUGCCUCGGCUCCAUCAAGCUACUCACAAAAUAUUCUAAUGAAAAAUCUUUAUUUAUUUUAA